GAUGAACGCUGGCGGCGUGCCUAAUACAUGCAAGUCGAGCGAACAGACGAGGAGCUUGCUCCUCUGACGUUAGCGGCGGACGGGUGAGUAACACGUGGAUAGCCUACCUAUAAGACUGGGAUAACUUCGGGAAACCGGAGCUAAUACCGGAUAAUAUAUUGAACCGCAUGGUUCAAUAGUGAAAGACGGUUUUGCUGUCACUUAUAGAUGGAUCCGCGCCGCAUUAGCUAGUUGGUAAGGUAACGGCUUACCAAGGCGACGAUGCGUAGCCGACCUGAGAGGGUGAUCGGUCACACUGGAACUGAGACACGGUCCAGACUCCUACGGGAGGCAGCAGUAGGGAAUCUUCCGCAAUGGGCGAAAGCCUGACGGAGCAACGCCGCGUGAGUGAUGAAGGUCUUCGGAUCGUAAAACUCUGUUAUUAGGGAAGAACAAAUGUGUAAGUAACUAUGCACGUCUUGACGGUACCUAAUCAGAAAGCCACGGCUAACUACGUG
rnacentral:rRNA from 1 species